rnacentral:rRNA from 1 species
CGGGACGGGUGAGUAAUGUCUGGGAAACUGCCUGAUGGAGGGGGGAAGUAGCUGGAAACGGUAGCUAAUACCGCAUAACGUCGCAAGACCAAAGAGGGGGACCUUCGGGCCUCUUGCCAUCGGAUGUGCCCAGAUGGGAUUAGCUAGUAGGUGGGGUAACGGCUCACCUAGGCGACGAUCCCUAGCUGGUCUGAGAGGAUGCCAGCCACACUGGAACUGAGACACGGUCCAG